AUGAACGCUAGCGGCAGGCUUAACACAUGCAAGUCGAGGGGUAAAUAUAGAGCUUGCUUUAUAUGAGACCGGCAAACGGGUGCGGAACACGUACGCAAUCUACCUCUAUCUGGGGCAUAGCCUUCUGAAAAGGAGAUUAAUACCCCAUAGUAUUAAAGAAUGGCAUCAUUUUUUAAUUAAAGAUUCAUCGGAUGGAGAUGAGCGUGCGUAAGAUUAGCUAGUUGGUGAGGUAACGGCUCACCAAGGCAACGAUCUUUAGCUGAUGUGAGAGCAUGAUCAGCCACACGGGCACUGGGACACGGGCCCGACUCCUACGGGAGGCAGCAGUGAGGAAUAUUGGUCAAUGGACGCAAGUCUGAACCAGCCAUGCCGCGUGAAGGAUGAAGGCGUUCUGCGUUGUAAACUUCUUUUAUCAGGGAAGAAACCUUCUUUUUCUAAGGAAGUUGACGGUACCUGAGGAAUAAGCACCGGCUAACUCCGU
rnacentral:rRNA from 1 species